CAAUAGCGUAUAUUAAAGUUGUUGCAGUUAAAAAGCUCGUAGUUGAAUUUCUGGGCUGGCCGGGAGGCGGCCUUCGGUCGACCUCCCCGCGAGUUCAUCCUCGCCCCUCGGGGCGUCAUUUACUGUGAAAAAAUUAGAGUGUUUAAAGCAGGCUUCUGGCUUGAACACAUUAGCAUGGAAUAAUGAGAUAGGACCGAGUCGUAUUUUGUUGGUUGCGCGAACCGGUAAUGAUUAAUAGGGACAGUUGGGGGUAUUCAUAUUUAAUUGUCAGAGGUGAAAUUCUUAGAUUUGUUAAAGAUGAACUACUGCGAAAGCAUUUACCAAGGAUGUUUUCAUUAA
rnacentral:rRNA from 1 species